AUACGUAGGGGGCGAGCGUUGUCCGGAAUGAUUGGGCGUAAAGGGCGCGUAGGCGGCCCGGUAAGUCUGGAGUGAAAGUCCUGUUUUUAAGAUGGGAAUUGCUUUGGAUACUGUCGGGCUUGAGUGCAGGAGAGGUAAGUGGAAUUCCCAGUGUAGCGGUAAAAUGCGCAGAUAUUAGGAGGAACACCGGUGGCGAAGGCGGCUAUCUGGACAGUAACUGACGCUGAGGCGCGAAAGCACGGGGAGCAAACAGGAUUAGAUACCCUGGUAGUCCGUGCCGUAAACGAUGAAUACUAGGUGUAGGGGGUAUCGACUCCCUCUGUGCCGCAGUUAACACAUUAAGUAUUCCACCUGGGGAGUACGGCCGCAAGGUUGAAACUCAAAUGAAUUGGCGGGG
rnacentral:rRNA from 1 species